GCAGUAGAACGCUGAAGAGAGGAGCUUGCUCUUCUUGGAUGAGUUGCGAACGGGUGAGUAACGCGUAGGUAACCUGCCUUGUAGCGGGGGAUAACUAUUGGAAACGAUAGCUAAUACCGCAUAACAAUGGAUGACACAUGUCAUUUAUUUGAAAGGGGCAAUUGCUCCACUACAAGAUGGACCUGCGUUGUAUUAGCUAGUAGGUGAGGUAAUGGCUCACCUAGGCGACGAUACAUAGCCGACCUGAGAGGGUGAUCGGCCACACUGGGACUGAGACACGGCCCAGACUCCUACGGGAGGCAGCAGUAGGGAAUCUUCGGCAAUGGGGGCAACCCUGACCGAGCAACGCCGCGUGAGUGAAGAAGGUUUUCGGAUCGUAAAGCUCUGUUGUAAGUCAAGAACGGGUGUGAGAGUGGAAAGUUCACACUGUGACGGUAGCUUACCAGAAAGGGACGGCUAACUACGUGCCAGCAGCCGCGGUAAUACGUAGGUCCCGAGCGUUGUCCGGAUUUAUUGGGCGUAAAGCGAGCGCAGGCGGUUUGAUAAGUCUGAAGUUAAAGGCUGUGGCUCAACCAUAGUUCGCUUUGGAAACUGUCAAACUUGAGUGCAGAAGGGGAGAGUGGAAUUCCAUGUGUAGCGGUGAAAUGCGUAGAUAUAUGGAGGAACACCGGUGGCGAAAGCGGCUCUCUGGUCUGUAACUGACGCUGAGGCUCGAAAGCGUGGGGAGCGAACAGGAUUAGAUACCCUGGUAGUCCACGCCGUAAACGAUGAGUGCUAGGUGUUGGAUCCUUUCCGGGAUUCAGUGCCGCAGCUAACGCAUUAAGCACUCCGCCUGGGGAGUACGACCGCAAGGUUGAAACUCAAAGGAAUUGACGGGGGCCCGCACAAGCGGUGGAGCAUGUGGUUUAAUUCGAAGCAACGCGAAGAACCUUACCAGGUCUUGACAUCCCGAUGCUAUUUCUAGAGAUAGAAAGUUACUUCGGUACAUCGGUGACAGGUGGUGCAUGGUUGUCGUCAGCUCGUGUCGUGAGAUGUUGGGUUAAGUCCCGCAACGAGCGCAACCCCUAUUGUUAGUUGCCAUCAUUCAGUUGGGCACUCUAGCGAGACUGCCGGUAAUAAACCGGAGGAAGGUGGGGAUGACGUCAAAUCAUCAUGCCCCUUAUGACCUGGGCUACACACGUGCUACAAUGGUUGGUACAACGAGUUGCGAGUCGGUGACGGCGAGCUAAUCUCUUAAAGCCAAUCUCAGUUCGGAUUGUAGGCUGCAACUCGCCUACAUGAAGUCGGAAUCGCUAGUAAUCGCGGAUCAGCACGCCGCGGUGAAUACGUUCCCGGGCCUUGUACACACCGCCCGUCACACCACGAGAGUUUGUAACACCCGAAGUCGGUGAGGUAACCUUUGAGCC
rnacentral:rRNA from 1 species